AGCAAUGAAACCUUGGAAAAAAUAGCAUUGAAUUUCCCAGAACUCCCAAGCAGCUGAACACUGCAUAUAUAAACUUAAAAAGGGUCACUAGCCAAAAAGUAGCAGAGGAAAAUAUUCAAAAAUAUAAUGAGCAGAAGGUUUUGGACCAGUUGAAGAGAGACCAAACUGCGGACAAA
rnacentral:lncRNA from 1 species